rnacentral:tRNA from 1 species
GGGGAACAGCUCAGUGGUAAAGUACUUGACUAACAUUACCGAGGCCCUGGGUUUGAUCCCCAGUACCACA